rnacentral:tRNA from 1 species
GAAAGUAUGGCUCAGUGGUAGAGCGUGUGCCUAGCAUGCACAAGGUCCUGGGUUCAAUCCCCAGUACUUCCA